rnacentral:rRNA from 1 species
AACUUAAAGGAAUUGACGGGACCCGCACAAGCAGCGGAGCGUGUGGUUUAAUUCGUUGCUACACGAAGAACCUUACCUGGGUUUGACAUAUAGGUUGUAGGGAACUGAAAGGGACGACCCUUCGGGAGCCUAUACAGGUGUUGCAUGGCUGUCGUCAGCUCGUGUCGUGAGAUGUUCGGUUAAGUCCGCUAACGAGCGCAACCCUCGUCGUAUGUUAUAUGUGUCAUACGAGACUGCCGGUAAAAAGCCGGAGGAAGGUGAGGAUGAUGUCAAGUCAGCAUGACCUUUAUAUCCAGGGCUACACACACGCUACAAUGGUCUGUACAAUGGGUAGCCAAGCCGCGAGGCGGAGCCAAUCCUGAAAGCAGGCCUCAGUUCAGAUUGCAGUCUGCAACUCGACUGCAUGAAGCCGGAGUUGCUAGUAACCGCAGGUCAGCAAUACUGCGGUGAAUACGUUCCCGGGUCUU